UCUGCCUCCACUUGCCGAUACUAGACGAAAGUAGCGUACGGACUCAAUGGGAACUGAAGAAUGCGUGUUAAAUCUUGAUAGCAUGGUGAUUGUUCAUAGGAAUCUAUCACCAUGACAGAGAUGCAAUGCGUGAAGGUGAUGCAGUAAUGUUCGGUAAGUUGGAACCUGAAGGAAUGCUUUGUAACCGAAAACCGAUCGGUUUCAUCUCCGUCGUAAGGCCUGAACUGCAUUUCAACAAGGCUAAACGGGUUGCAACCAAUGGUGAUUGUGGACCCGACAAUGCGGUUUGUUGACGUGAUUUCAGAGAGAAAAGCUAAAUUUGAUGAUUGAUUAAGAUUUGAAGAUUAGUUUAUUGACAAAUAGAGAGUUAGUUGUGAUGAUUGAUUAAGAUUUGAAGUUUUCCAGAAAGAU